rnacentral:rRNA from 1 species
CAACUCCGGUUGAUCCUGCCGGACCCCACUGCUAUCGGGGUGGGACUAAGGCAUGCUAGUCCGUGUCUUCAAGCUACGGUGAAGACACGGCGAACAGCUCCGUAACACGUAGCUAACCUGCCCUCAGGACGGGGAUAACCCCGGGAAACUGGGGCUAAUACCCGAUAGGCGAGAAGGCCUGGAACGGUUUCUCGCCUAAAGGAUGCGGAAACCAUGCUUUCCGCAUCGCCUGAGGAUGGGGCUGCGGCCGAUCAGGUAGUUGGUGAGGUAACGGCUCACCAAGCCUAUAACCGGUACGGGCCGUGAGAGCGGGAGCCCGGAGAUGGGCACUGAGACAAGGGCCCAGGUCCUACGGGACGCAGCAGCCGCGAAACCUCUGCAAUGCGCGUAAGCGCGACAGGGCUACCCCGAGUGCCGU